GAAAAAACAAAAUACCAAACCCUAGAAGAAAUGUACAAUAAAUUGGAAGAAGCAAAAGCUUGUUUAGAAAAGAAAGUUCAGGAAUUUGAAGAAUCUAUUAGAUGUCAACAUACUGAAAAACACACAAGCCAAGUAAACUACUCUAUUGUAUCUGAUAGAGUCUCGGCUCCAAAACAAAAACUGAAAAAUGACUGCAGUGACACUUUAAACAAGAAAAGAAG